rnacentral:rRNA from 1 species
UACAGAGGGGGCAAGCGUUGUUCGGAAUUACUGGGCGUAAAGGGCGCGUAGGCGGCCGGCUAAGUCGAACGUGAAAUCCCCGGGCUCAACCCGGGAACUGCGUCCGAUACUGGCAGGCUUGAAUCCGGGAGAGGGAUGCGGAAUUCCAGGUGUAGCGGUGAAAUGCGUAGAUAUCUGGAGGAACACCGGUGGCGAAGGCGGCAUCCUGGACCAACAUUGACGCUGAGGAGCGAAAGCCAGGGGAGCAAACGGG